rfam:Strigamia maritima strain Brora ctg7180001233638, whole genome shotgun sequence.
GUUGGCUAUGGGGAUAUGUCCCCAAAAACCUACAUCGGAAUGUUCGUAGGCGCCCUAUGCGCCCUCGCGGGAGUGUUAACCAUCGCUCUGCCCGUGCCGGUCAUUGUGUCCAAU